rnacentral:rRNA from 1 species
UACGCUCCUACGGGAGGCAGCAGUGGGGAAUAUUGGACAAUGGGCGCAAGCCUGAUCCAGCCAUGCCGCGUGAGUGAUGAAGGCCCUAGGGUUGUAAAGCUCUUUCACCGGUGAAGAUAAUGACGGUAACCGGAGAAGAAGCCCCGGCUAACUUCGUGCCAGCAGCCGCGGUAAUACGAAGGGGGCUAGCGUUGUUCGGAUUUACUGGGCGUAAAGCGCACGUAGGCGGACUAUUAAGUCAGGGGUGAAAUCCCGGGGCUCAACCCCGGAACUGCCUUUGAUACUGGUAGUCUUGAGUUCGAGAGAGGUGAGUGGAAUUCCGAGUGUAGAGGUGAAAUUCGUAGAUAUUCGGAGGAACACCAGUGGCGAAGGCGGCUCACUGGCUCGAUACUGACGCUGAGGUGCGAAAGCGUGGGGAGCAAACAGGAUUAGAUACCCCGGUAGUCCCAUGAU